GAUGAAGAACGCAGUGAAAUGCGAUAAGUAAUGUGAAUUGCAGAAUUCAGUGAAUCAUCGAAUUUUUGAACGCACCUUGCGCCCCUUGGUAUUCCGAGGAGCAUGCCUGUUUGAGUGUCAGUAAAUUCUCAAACCCUUCCAGCUUUUUGUAGUUGGCUCUGGGUCUUGGAUGUGGAGGUGUUGCAGGCCUUUUUGAGGUCAGCUCCCCUGAAAUGCAUUAGCAGAACCGUUUGCAAUCCAUCACAGGUGUGAUAAUUAUCUACGCCAGUGGGUUGCUCUCUGUCACUGUUCAGCUUACAAUUGUCCCAUUCUUGUGGACCAACUAUUGCUGAUUCUUUGACCUCAAAUCAGGUAGGACUACCCGCUGAACUUAAGCAUAUCAAUAAGCGGAGGA
rnacentral:misc_RNA from 1 species